AUGCUCAAGCUCGACCUCACGCGCGCCUUCGACUCCCUAUCAUGGCCUUUCCUCUUUGAGGUGCUGGGCCGGUACGGAUUCGGAAACAGAUUCAUGGAGUGGACGGCCAUCCUCCUGUCCUCUGCCAGCACGCGCAUCCUCCUGAACGGCGAGCCCGGCCCCCCCAUAUGGCACCGACAAGGGCUCCGACAGGGCGACUCCAUGUCCCCACAGCUUUUCGUGCUCGCCGUCGACACCUUGGGACGGCUACUCCGACGCGCACACAGCCUGGGCAUCCUGCAGCCUCUUCACCCACGACGUCACAUCCCGGCGAUCUCCCUCUAUGCCGACGAUGUCAUGGUCUUCUGCCAUGCCACGAUGGAGGACACCACUGCGAUCAAGGAAAUACUCGCCUUGUUCGGCAAGGCCUCUGGCCUGACGGUGAACUUCACCAAAAGCUCCGCUACCAUCCUGCACGGAGACCAAGCUGCCAUGGAGAUGAUCGCACAACUCGGCUGCCCGGCGGCGAACCUUCCAAUCACCUACCUCGGCAUACCGAUGUCCACACGCCGCCCAUCUGCCGCCCAGCUGCAACCCAUGGUGGACGCGGUCGGCGCGCGCCUGCCAACAUGGAAGGCCUGGCUGAUGACUAAAACCGGGCGCCUCGCGUUGGUCAAGUCAGUCUUGUGCGCCAUCCCAGUGCACCAACUGCUCGCAUUCGCCCCCCCAAAAAAGACCCUCAAGCAGAUUGAGAAGAUCCUGCGCGGCUUCCUCUCGGCUGGCCGUGCCGCUGCCAAUGGUGGACACUGCCACGUGAACUGGAGCAGAGUGUGCCGCCCAAUCGAGCUCGGGGGCCUUGGCGUGCGAGACCUCGAGCGGGCCGGCCUCGCUCUCAGACUACGCUGGCUAUGGUUGUCCAGAACGGACCCGGAGCGAGCUUGGCAAGGGCUCAACCUCCAAUUUUUGCCCACGGAACGUGCCCUGUUCUGGGCAUCCACGUUCACGAUCCUCGGGAAUGGGCUGUCCGCCCUGCUCUGGGAGGACCGGUGGAUUGGCGGUCGAUCCGUGCGCGAGCUCAUGCCCAACUUAUACGGCUGCAUACCCAAGCGACGACGAACGACGAGAACUGUGGCAGAUGGGCUCAAUGGCAACGCCUGGGCACGUGACAUCCAAGGAAACCUAGGUCUCCACGAGAUUGGCCAGUACCUGCAACUUUGGCAGAUCAUGCAGCGCACCGAGCUUUCCACCUUACCGGACAAGUUGAUUUGGCGCUGGACAGCGAGCGGCAACUACUCUGCGCAGUCCUGCUACACGGCGACCUUCCAUGGAGCAACGGCCUGCCACUCAUGGAAGCUGAUUUGGAAAUGCUGGGCGCCACCGCGAGUCAGGUUCUUCCACUGGUUGGCCAACCAGGACCGAUGCUGGACGGCUGAGAGGCUGGCUCGCCAUGGCCUCCAGCAUCACCCCCGCUGCCUCCUAUGUGACCAGCAACAGGAAACGAUGCGACACCUCAUGCUGGAAUGCCCUCUCGCCCGUCAGGCAUGGCACGAGACCCUGGCCUGGCUUCGCAUCCCGGCCCCGAUCCCCUCGCAGGAACCAUCGCUUACGGACUGGUGGAGACAGGACAACGAAGAUACGCCACCGACACUACGCAAGGCCCUGAAAUCUGUUGCGUUGCUCGUGCCUUGGAUGGUCUGGAAGCACCGAAACAGCUGCGUCUUUGAUAAUGCGACGCCUUCCCUCAACACACUACUAGAUAGCAUUAGGGACGAGGCCCGCUCAUGGGCGGCAGCAGGGGCACCUGGCCUCCGACUUGUGUUGCCCCAAACCUGGGAUGUGCACUAA
rnacentral:rRNA from 1 species